AUAAUACUCCCUCCGAUCCAUAUUACUUGUCGAAAUAUUACAUGCAUCUAGACGCUUUUUAAACAUAGAUAUAUCUAUAUUUGGACAAAUUUGAGACAAGUAAUAUGGAUCGGAGGAAGUACUAG
rfam:Brachypodium distachyon strain Bd21 chromosome 1, whole genome shotgun sequence.